GUCUGUAGCUCAGCGGUUAGAGCAGCGGACUCAUAAUCCGUUGGUCGCAGGUUCGAAUCCUGCCAGACCC
rnacentral:tRNA from 1 species